GGAUAUAGCUCCAUUGGUAGAGUACUUGCUUCACAUGCAUGAGGUCCUGGGUUCAAUCCCCAGUACCA
rnacentral:tRNA from 1 species